CUUUAUCUGCCUAUUCCUUCAUGUAG
rnacentral:piRNA from 1 species